UACGUAGGGAGCAAGCGUUGUUCGGAUUUACUGGGCGUAAAGGGCUCGUAGGCGGCCAACUAAGUCAUACGUGAAAUCCCUCAGCUUAACUGGGGAACUGCGUGUGAUACUGGAUGGCUUGGAUGUGGGAGAGGGAUGCGGAAUUCCAGGUGUAGCGGUGAAAUGCGUAGAUAUCUGGAGGAACACCGGUGGCGAAGGCGGCAUCCUGGACCAUUAUUGACGCUGAGGAGCGAAAGCCAGGGGAGCAAACGGG
rnacentral:rRNA from 1 species